rnacentral:rRNA from 1 species
AGCUCCAAUAGCGUAUAUUAAAGUUGUUGCAGUUAAAAAGCUCGUAGUUGGAUUUCUGACGGGAGUAGUCGGUCCGGUGCUUGAUUGUGCCGCGUACUUUGUGCUAUCUCUUGUCAUCUUUGUAGAGAGCUUGUGUGGCAUUAGGUUGCUCGUGCAAGGGAUCUGCAUCUUUUACUGUGAAAAAAUUAGAGUGUUUAAAGCAGGCAAUUGCUGUGAAUACAUUAGCAUGGAAUAAUAAGAUAGGACUUUGGUGCUAUUUUGUUGGUUUACACACCAAGGUAAUGAUUAACAGGGACAGUUGGGGGUAUUCGUAUUUAAGUGUCAGAGGUGAAAUUCUUGGAUUUCUGAAAGACGAACUUCGGCGAAAGCAUUUACCAAGGAUGUUUUCAUUAAUCAAGAA